GGAGCGGGGACGGGAGCAAGAAGACACCCCUGUCCUCAAGUCAGUCCCUCAGUCAACUCACGCGUUCCCGGGGGAGGGGAUGCGAGGAGCCAGGCGUCCGGAGAGAGGAGAGAGGAAGAGGAGGAGAGAGGUACCACCCUCCUGGAAAUCAGGCCCAAGAACCUCAUUCUGAGACUCCACCCCCUGACCCUGAUCUCUGAUUCAUGUGACUUCCCCAGACCCAGGAUACCCAUGGAUGCUGGCUUUUGAGGAGCCACUCUUAUAAGAAGAGAGGGACUGGGGAUAUAGCUCAGCUAGUAGAAUGCUUGCCUUGCAUGCACAAGGAAGGCCCUGGGUUUGAUCCCCAGCACCACAAAAAGAAAAAAGAAAGAAAGAGAGAGGAGAGAAUAAAAAGCAAGGGAGAAAGUAGAAUAGCAGGGGGGCAGGCAGGUGGAAGAGGAAAAUCUUUGGAAAGAAUUCUAAAUGGAGUCAGAGGUCUUAGGUAGGGAUUUGGAAGCCUCACCUGUUUGAGGCCCAUGAGCUCAGCGUAGUCAAAGACGAGAAGAAUACUGAAGAUGAGGAGCCAGGAAAUGACGUGGAGCACAAAGCAGAGGAGGGGCACCCAGGUGGCCCAUGGCUCUGCCCGAGCCUCCCACAACACUGGGCCUCUGGGUACAGGUUCCCAGUACCGCAUCACCAACUGGAGAAGGAUGAGGAACUAAGUAUCCCAGCAGCCAAUCUGCCUAUUUUUAAGAAACCCAGACCCAGAGCCUGUUCCCCUUUCCCACUUAUGAGGGUGCUGAGUAAGCUCCCAAGAAAGUGAGGAUGACCUGUAUCCACACUGAGGAUUUACAGAAUGGAUAGGGAUUUACAGAAUGGAUGGGGAUGACCUGAUAGGUGCCUGAUAGUACUAGGCACCCAAAAAGAAGAUAGGUAACUGCUAAAUGAAAAGCAAGCUUUCUCUUGAAACCUAGGGAGGUGGUUUGAAAGAAAUGGUAGGACUGAAAAGGAAUUAAGGAGGGGAUUUCAAGCAGGAUAAUGUGAACAAAGUUGCAAAGGUGAGAAUGCACAUCUUGUGCUUAGGGAAUGACAAGUACACCCUUCUUGAUAAAAAGUAGGCUAUGUGCCAUGAAGGAAUAGAAGCUUAGUAUCCUCAGUUCCCCUCCAGUCCAGGGGGUGCCUCCCACAGAUUGUCUCCCUUGGGGACUCAGCUGCCAUGUCCUCAUACCUGCAAGGCCAGAGCAGUGCAUGCCACAUACAGUGACCUCUGAAGGACCCCAAAGUACUGGGAUGUCCAUGCCUUCACUGUCUCAGUCGCCAUGAGGCUGUGCUGCCCAACAAAGAGUAGCAGGAGCCCCAGAUCCCAAGCCAGGGAGGCAAGUACACUGCGGUCCUUCAGGGCAGCCAGCCAUCCCUGGCGGGCAUCUGGAGGAGUUGAGGGAGAAAGGGACAAAACAUCAAGAAGAUAAAUAGAAAAUCUCCCCUUACCCUCAUUUCCCAUUGGGGUCCCAGACCAUGUCCCUUAAUGGUUUCAAAGCGUUAGUGUUUUCCAUCUAGGCUGGCCCCUCUCACUUUACCAUCCCUUGUAUUUCCCCCUCUUCCCUAGGCCUCCGUCAGACCUGGGAAAGAGAAUUCAUAGAAAAAUGCAUGUUGGAUUAUCACUAAAAGCAUGGCUGGAGAGGAUUCUCUGGAUCGCCCCUUUGUAACACUUCUCUCUCCGCAGUUUUCUCUAAAAAAUACUUUUCUUAGAA